UUAAUUGAAGCCAAAGAGAGGCUUAUCACUGUUAAUGAUAGAACUGAGAGUCAUCUCCAAUUAAG
rnacentral:tRNA from 1 species